CAACACAGCCUUCAGCAUGGACUGGAGCUGGAGAACCCUCCUCCUGGUGGCCAUGGCGACAGGUGUCCACUCCCAGGUGCAGCUGGUGCAGUCUGGGGCUGAGGUGAGGAAGCCUGGGGCCUCCGUGAAGGUCUCCUGCAAGGCUUCUGGAUACACCUUCACCAGCUACUACAUUCACUGGGUGCAACAGGCCCCAGGACAGGGGCUCCAGUGGGUGGGGAGGGUUUACCCUAACAAUGGAAACACAAACUACGCACAGAAGUUCCAAGGCAGAGUCUCCAUGACCA